UGCGAGGAAGACCACACACACACAAAGACACUGACCGGAGCGACUGACUGGAGCUGACUAGCCACUGAGCUAAUUAGCUCCAGGCUGAAUGAGAAGGCUACUGUUAGCAUGCAGGCUAGCAUGUUUAGGUUGCCCUGGUUUCCACGCCGUGUCAUUUACACAUUCGUCAAGGGGACAUGCUAAUGGAUGCGACCCACGGGUGUAGCUAUUGGUUUUAUCACGUGCACAACUUAUUAGCUCACGUAUUAGCACCGCCAAAGCAACAACGCAUGAUUAGCAGAAGCUGCUACGCGCAAGGUGGAGACUGUCUUAACUUGGAAGGGGUACCAAGGAGAUGGUUGGGGACAGGAGGAGGAGGAGAAAGGUGGUGUAUCAUCACAUGCAAAGCUCCGUGAAGCUCUCACCACAACCGCAGGACUCCUUCACGUGCGUCUUGCUGGUCUCACUGGCGUCCUGGGCUCCAUCCCCGGCUUCAUCCGCAAGAUCAACCGGAUUACAGUUAGGCACCGACGCCGGGAUGUCAUCUGUCUUGCUUACCAUGGUCGG